GGGGGAGGCGGCGGCAUGGAGAGGUCUGUCUGCUGGAGGGGCCGGGGAAAGGCCGCGCGGCCUUGAUGUCGUGGUGCCUUCCCGCUCCGUCAGCAUUGUCCUCAGCUACCUGCCGGCCCCCGACGUGGGUCUCUGCAGCCGCUUGGGCUGAGUGCCUGGGGCAGCCCCCUGCUUGUCCCAUGAGGAGCCAUGAGUCGGACAAGUCCGGUUUCCAUGGGCUUCUGUAAAGUGUUGGUCGUGAGUCUGGGGAAAGGAAAACCACGCUGAAUUGUUUCCUAAUUAAAAUAGUCUUCGAUAUCACUCUCGGGUGUAGUUAAUCCACAUAGGGCCAUAAUGUUGAGUUUUGGGAGAGGGGGAGGAAGGGGUGUAACAAACUGCCACAAAAAGUUGUGCUCAGCUGGUGGCAGAAAGCACCCCAUUCUGGAGGCCAAGAAAUGCACAGUUUCUCUAAUAUCAGCCAUAAAUUCUCCCCCUUGUCUUUUCUGAACACUAGUAAACAAUUGGUUUAACAGUAUAGGUUGGUGAUCUUUAUGGGUCGGAGGUACUGCAUUUGGGACCUAGUUUGUGGCCAUCUGUAUGAAUAUUUAAUGACAUCUUGUCUCUCUAAAUUUGAGAACUGGAAAGGAAGAUUAAAUGGUGGAACUCCAUUGCUUUGUGAUUUAAAUGCCACAGCUAGCAUUUGGUUAAAAAAAAAAAGUUUUAGUUAUGAUUCUAGUAGCUUGAAACUUUUUUUAAUAGUAUUUAAUCAGUUGGUUUUGAUCCUCAUAUUCAAUAGAUGCAGCUUUGUUUUGUGUGCAGUUGGAAUAUAUAUAUAUAUAACUUAUUUACAUAAGUGCCAACAGUGUAAAUUUAUGUGCUUAAUACGUGUCUGAAGACAAGGUUCCUGCUCCAGAAGUUUGCACUCUCUACGUGCCUAUGUCUGGUGGAGGAUGGGAUGCAAUGAAAGUAGCAUGCCUUGAUAAUUCCAUGGCUUGUUUGAUUUUUAAAAAAGUUUGGGUGACUUGUUUCAGUCCACCUAACUGGCUAACGCAGUUUGUGCCAGAGGGAUGGAGACUAGGACUUGCAGACCUUUUGGAAGAGUUGCAUUUUAAGGGUUGAUGUGAAGAAGGUGGUGUCACAGGGCAGACUUGGUGAUGGACUGGGCUGCCUGUCCAUUCUAUACACUUGUAGAAAAUGUAUUUGAUGUGUAUUAAUCCUCAAUUCAAAUUUACUUUUGUUUUUGAGUAAAAGUAAUACAGAAGAACACACAAGUUGGCUAAAAUGAAUAUAAAAUAAUAUACACAAGUAAAUCAACAUAGAUGGUAAUUUAGUUCAGAUCUACUUGUACUGUUAUUUGCUGCAGGGUCCAAAUUGUUGAGCAUUUAGGAAACUUUUACAUCCUCUGGUAGUGGGGGAUUCCAGGUAACAGACUAAUACUGUUGAUUGAGAAAUCAUGCUGACCAUCAACUGACUUAUUUUGUUCACUCUGAUGGCCUGCCAUACCGUAUACAAGUGUCUCUGUAAAAUCCAAAUAUCCCAGUUAUUUUGAAAUCCUAGGUCAUUACUGCACCAACAUAUAAUAAAAUGGUGAAUUAUUUUUAAAUACAGGCUCACUGAUAACUGAGAGAACUUUCCUGGUUAAAUAUUAUUAAGUCGUGAUCCUACAAGCACUUACCUAUGUGUAUAGGUUUACUUAUAUGAAUUGUCUCUCUUAUCUGUAUAAUCAAUUAUGCAUCUGUUUGCAGGUUUAGGGCCUUAAUUUGUAACCUUUACUCAAAUUGAUGUUUUCUGCUCUAUAAUGGGCCUCCCUUUCUGCUGUAAAGAUUAAACUGCUUUUAGCACUUGAAUGAUAAAAUGCAGGUGGCCAGCAGCUCAUAUGCUUUUUAGUUUAAUUCCUCCAGGCUGUCGUAUUUCUCUCUGUGCUUUGGCCGAAAUGGUUCUGAUGGACUGAUAUGAGACUUGAUUUGAGAAUUGCUCUUCCUCUUUCCUUUAAGAGGCUACUUCUGAUUUUACCUUCUGACAAGGGGAAGCAGUUUUCAGCAAGAGAAUAAAGAAUGAAUUGACAGUUAUAAUUAUUGUGAGCCAAAUGUUUUUACCAGUGGUCAUCCUAUUCUUGAUAUGUAAGAAGGUAUAUGUACAUAAUUGUUGCAUCAUAUUCAAAUAAUGUAUUUGCUGGUUAUGCAAACAUUUCAUGAGACUUCUUUCUGAAGGGGGGAAUGUCAUCAGAGUAGUGGACUGAGAGGCAGAUUUCUGGAUUCUUCCACGCUUUGCUACUGAAUGUUUGACCUUGGACAAGUCAUUUAAUCUCUGCUUGACUUUAAUAUGACUUCUUCAUUGAUUUUUUUAUUUUGUUUUUGUUUUUAUUUUUUUCAGUCAGGGAUUGGCUGAUUGUAAAGUGCUUUGAGAUCUGCAGAGUUUGAAAGAUGUUCUGUAAAUGCAGAGAUCUGAGGGCUCUAAUCUUUUGCUCUUUCUUAGUCAAUAUUUAUGACAUCACUUGGGGAGAUAAACUAUUGACUAUGAUGCCAAUAACCUGUUCCCCUGUCCUCUUCCCCCCAGCUCUUCAUCUCAUUGAGUGCUAACUCUUAUCUCAGUAUCUUAGCUGGUUAUGAUACAGGUUUCUGUUUUGCUAUCUGAGGUUCAGUAUGGGCAAAACAGAGGUAGUGUUUGUUGAUAGAAGGGAGGGGAAACGCUUAGAAGAACUGGUAGUCUUUUAUCAUUUCUUCAUUAGAGGGCAUCUGUCCCAAGUUAUCAAGAUGGUGUGCAACCUGGCUGGUUCCCAAUAGACUUAUCUUUACUUCUUGGCUGGAUGGGAGAUUGCUAAGUAGCUACAUUCUACAGUGACACUUCGAUUCUACUUGGAACCUGACACUUCAAGUAAGCAUAUCAUAAAGGAGGAGGAUGAGCUAUAUUCCCAAUUGGGAUAAUUUUGUAUAUUGAAAAUGAUAUUAAAAAGAGCUCAGAUACUACAGUGAUCAGUACCUCAGAAAUGCAUAUGAAAAUAAGUUGUUUUAAGAAGGCAACUAUGGGAAGACAGUCGAUUGUAUGCCCUUACCUUCUAAACUCGGAACAGUCACUAUUUUGGUAGCUGGUGUUCUCUGGCAUCUUCUUCAUUGUGAUUCCAGAGAAUGGUGAUGGUUUACUCCUUGACUCUGUCUGACAUAACAUUACCAGCUAAUCUUGUUAGGUAAGACACAAGAAUAACUCAAAUGCAGGUGUUAUCAUUAAAAAGACCCAUUCAAAUAAUCAUACAACUUUUUUGUAUGAGAACUUUCAAAAAAUUACUG